UUAAGUUCAGCGGGUAUUCCUACCUGAUCCGAGGUCAACAUUCAGAAGUUGGGGUUUUACGGCAUGGCCGCGCCGCGUUCCAGUUGCGAGGUGUUAGCUACUACGCUCGGAGUGACUAGCGAGCCCGCCACUGGUUCAGGGCCUGCGGCAGCCGCAGGUCCCCAACACAAGCCGGGGGCUUGAUGGUUGAAAUGACGCUC
rnacentral:misc_RNA from 1 species